UUAUUCAGGUAGCAGGUAGGCAUCUUUGUCGGAGAUGUCUAUUCAGGGAAAGUGAAUCGAUCCCUGCCUACUGCAGAUUCCAGGUGCUUUCUGGCCCGGAAAGCUAGUACCUGUUUAGGGUCCCUUGUCCAGGGUUACGGACGAAGAAGACGACAGGAUGGAGAGCAGCUUCUGGAUUAUGAUUCAAGAAAUGCAAGGGCUGCUCCUGUAGACAGCAGAUGCGCCGCAUAGCUGUCUGGACUGCCAUGAAAACUGGGAUGAACCCAAAUGUGAAUACACCCUAACACCCAAGAGCAACGGGAGUUGCAAAAAGAUACUCUAGAGGUUUCACCAGCUCAAAUUCUAAUGAUUAUGUCUGCUCAGAAGAAAGUCAUGAGCAAAAUUGAAAUGCAAUAAGAUGAGAUGAAAAUAUUCUUUAUUGCUAAGAAACAUUAAAUUUUUCUAUCAACUAAUGCAGUCAUUGGCAUUUCUAUGAAUGUGGGGUCAGGAGUCUGGAUAUGGAAGUCGGGCUGAAGAUCUGGAUUGGAGAGGAGGAAGUCGCAGCCAUUUUGUUGGAUACGAGACCGGGAUUCUAGACAUGGAAGUCAUCGGGCUCGGGACCUGGAUCGGAACAGGAGCAGCUGUAAUGGAAAGGAUACCGAGCAGGAAUCUGGAUAUAUGGAGCUGGGAU